CGCGGACCCACUAUGUGUGGGCUUUUACGCUAUUUCUCUUCAUUAAAAAUGUUAAUUAAUCUUUUUCGAUCGUCUUAUCAAAAGCGCCACAUAUUAUCUCAAGGAAACGAGAAACUGUAUUACGUCAUCAUUAUAUUUUGUUUUUUUCAAUGCGACUUGCUUUCCUCCAAUCACAGUCUGAUCGGCCACACUGCAGCUGCGCGCCUCUUACCCUAUGCUCUUACCCAACUCUCUCUCGGUAUCGCGAGAUUUCAUAGUCUUCCUCGCCGUGUGGACGUUAUCUCUGGAAGGUGUGCUCUAUGGCGGUGGCUGUUUCAGCGAACAUAUCUCUUGACUGUACUAUAUUUCCAAAGCCAAUGGCAGAACUUUUUGGGUUCAAACCUCCUUAAGGGGGGCAGUGCACCACUCUGGAGUUCAUUUGAGCAAAGGGAGGUGAGGCUCUGAUGAUGGAGAAUGGACAGAGCACGGCCUCGAAGCUCGGCCUGCCACCCCUCACCCCAGAACAGCAGGAGGCGCUACAGAAGGUGAGACUUUCCCCAGACACUGCUUCUGCAUAUGGGUACUGAAAUCCAUUAUAUUGAUGCGUGACGUGACUUUACCAUACUCAAUAACAGUUAUUCACAAGUGUAUCAGUCAGGGGCUUUCAUUUAUGGUUUUGUGAUCUUUUUCAUGUCCUCUAGCUUUACAAGCAUGUGUUUGUUCAGUGCACAUGUAAGCAAGCAGUGGACAAGAGCAGAACCAGUGUUAUGCCUUCGGUGCUAGUGGCAUCUGAUUAUCUGCUAGUACUAUUCUCAAUAGCUGGGACACUAUUUAAAGUGGAUGAUUAUUCUUAUUUAACAUUUGUGAAUUUGAGAAGAUUUGUAAAAUUUCAUAUGUGACAAAAUUUUAGAGUUGUACAGUAUGUUGGUUUACUUGAAGCAGGGCUUAACGUUAAGCCUUGACGUGCUUGUCUUUCGGAUAAGUAAAUCAGUCAUUCAUCUUGUCAAUAAAUUAAAUUUAUUCAGAAUCA
ensembl:lncRNA